rnacentral:rRNA from 1 species
AUCUAUGUCCAUACCACCCUGAAUGUGCUCAAUCCCAUCUGAUUUUGGAAGCUUAGAGGCUGGGCCUGGUUAGUAAUUGGAGGAAGAUUCAAGUUAGAUUUGAUU